rnacentral:rRNA from 1 species
GAACGCUAGCUACAGGCUUAACACAUGCAAGUCGAGGGGCAGCAUGGUCGAAGCUUGCUUCGACUGAUGGCGACCGGCGCGACGGGUGCGUAACGCGUAUCGAACCUGCCCUGUACACGGGGAUAGCCUUGCGAAAGUAAGAUUAAUACCCGAUGCCAAGUUGAGAUCGCAUGAUUUUGAUUUGAAAGAAAUUCGGUAUAGGAUGGCGAUGCGUCUGAUUAGGUAGAUGGCGGGGUAACGGCCCACCAUGCCGACGAUCAGUAGGGGUUCUGAGAGGAAGGUCCCCCACAUUGGAACUGAGACACGGUCCAAACUCCUACGGGAGGCAGCAGUGAGGAAUAUUGGUCAAUGGUCGCGAGACUGAACCAGCCAAGUAGCGUGCAGGAUGACGGCCCUCUGGGUUGUAAACUGCUUUUAGUUGGGAAUAAAAGGCGGUACGUGUACCGCGUAUUGUAUGUACCAUCAGAAAAGGACCGGCUAAUUCCGUG